UACGUAGGGUGCAAGCGUUAAUCGGAAUUACUGGGCGUAAAGCGUGCGCAGGCGGUUGUGUAAGACAGAUGUGAAAUCCCCGGGCUCAACCUGGGAACUGCAUUUGUGACUGCACAGCUGGAGUGCGGCAGAGGGGGAUGGAAUUCCGCGUGUAGCAGUGAAAUGCGUAGAUAUGCGGAGGAACACCGAUGGCGAAGGCAGCCCCCUGGGAUAACACUGACGCUCAUGCACGAAAGCGUGGGGAGCAAACAGG
rnacentral:rRNA from 1 species